AGGAAAUAUCACUCCUUUAUCGUAGCAUUUUGUAGAACGAGUAACACUCUUCAUUGUUACAUUUUGUAAAAGGACAUAUCACUCCUUUUUCGAAGCAUUUUGUAGAAUGAGUAAUAGUCUUCAUUGUUACAUAUUGUAAAAGGAAGUAGUACUCCUUCGUUGUUACAUUUUGUAAAAGGAAAUAUCACUCCUUUUUGAAGCAUUUUGUAAAAGGAAAUAUCACUUCUUUACCGUAGCAUUUUGUAGAAUGGAUAAUACUCUUCAUUGUUACAUUUUGUAAAAGGAAAUGUCACUACUUUUUCUGAUGUACUGGGUAGAUUUUGUAAUAGGAGGCAUCAAUCUUUUCCGAAACAUUUUCGUAACGUUAACUAUUUAUCGAUUGAAAUUGAAAACAAAAUAAUUUA